rnacentral:rRNA from 1 species
GACGAACGCUGGCGGCGUGCUUAACACAUGCAAGUCGAACGGAAAGGCCUCUUUCUGGGGGUACUCGCGUGGCGCACGGGUGAGUAACACGUGAGUAACCUGCCCUCGACUUUGGGAUAACUCCAGGAAACAGUGGCUAAUACAGGAGAGGAGAUCUUGUGGCACGGGGUGGGUUGUAGAGUUUCGGGGGGUGGGGGUGUACUCUCGGCUUAUCUGCUUGUGGGUGGGGGAUUGGCUUACCCAGGGUUUGACGGGUAGCCGGCCUGUGAGGGUGACCCGGCACAUUGGGGCUGAGAUACGGCCCAGGAUCCUAAGGGAGGCAAGAGGGGGGAAUAUUGCACAAUGGGUGGAAGGCUGAUGCAGCAACGCCGGGGGCGGGAUGACGGGCUUCGGGGUGUAAAACGCUUUCGCUCAUGACGAAGCUUUGAGUGACGGUAAUGGGUAAAGAAGCACCGGCUAACUACGUG